ACGUUGUCUGCUAUACGCA
rnacentral:rRNA from 1 species